rnacentral:lncRNA from 1 species
CCCAUCCUGCAGGAAUGCUGAGGGAAAUGCUGGAAGAAUUUCCAGAUGCAGAGUCAGGUCUCCAGGAAGGAACGAAAGCUCUGGAAAUGAUUAGCCCUGAGCUAACAUUUGCUGCCAAUCCUCGUCUUUUUGCUGAGGAAGACUGGCCCUGAGCUAACAUCCGUGCCCAUCUUCCUCUACUUUAUAUGUGGGAUGCCUACCACAACAUGGCUUGCCAAGUGUUGCCAUGUCCACACCUGGGAUCUGAACCGGCAAACCCUGGGCCACUGAGAAGCGGAACAUGCGAACUUAACCUCUGGGCCACCGGGCCGGCCCUGCUUCAUAUAUUUUGAUGAUCUGUUAUUAGGCUCCUUAAAUUUAUUAAGACUUGCUUAGUGGCCUAACAUACAGUCUAUCCUGAAGACUAUUCCAUGUGCGCUUGAGAAGAAUGUGUUCUGCUGCUAUUGGAUGGAAUGUUCUGUAAGUGUCUGUUAGGUUCAUCUGACCUAACAUGUAGUUUAAGUCCAAUGUUUCCUUAUUGAAUUUUCUACCUGGAUGAUCUGUAGGUUGUUGAAAGUGAGAAGAUUUAAUGAAUUUUCAAGCUAUAAUAGAAAACUACUAAGCAAUUUCUCCCCUGAGACUGUCUUGGGUCCUCUAAACCACUCCAUGUAUGCUUUACCCACCUUUGCUAUCAGUUCCCCUAGGGACAGAGUGUGAGAAGCACUGGAUUGAUGAAGUUGGUUCUCUAGCUAGAGUGACAUCAUCUCCGAUAUAACCAUGUUCCAGCAGGCAGGUGACUCACAUGGAAAGAUUGGUACAACACUCCUGAAGCUAUUUUUCUCCUCUAUCUCUGCUCUCUCCUCUUCUUCACAUCCUUUGAAGAGGCACCAUGGUGCAGGUUAGGAGUGUGAACUGUG